UGGUCAGAGGUUCUGAAUUGGAAGUACAAUUUCAUUGCUUUUGCGAUUUCUACAAAUUAAUUUUCGUGUCAGAAAAAGUUGAUGGCGAGGACAUGCAUUGUAACUUGCAGGAGGGAAAUGUCAAGUGAGAACUUCAUCACGUGUGACACAAGAGAAAAGUAAGAGCUGGUUAUAAAAUUAAAAGCUGUUGUUCAUCCUGAAUUGAAUUUUUAAAAUUUGGGUGGAGCAGAGUCACUUUGAAGCUUUCUUCCAAUCUAGUUCUAUUGCACUGUUGAUGAUAACUGUUGACUUUGUGUAGUGUAGAAGCAACAAGCAUGUCUUUGUAGUACAAGUACAGGGAAGGAUAGAGCACACUUUGUUGAUGCAAACAUUUAUUUUUUAUUUCUUCUGUUUUUUUUUUUGAGACAGAGUACUGAAUUAACUUCUGGAAGUAUUGAAAGGGGAUGAACGAUAUUGGUUUCUGCCUUCACUAGCAUACGUUCGUUUUGUCCACCAGGGAAAGAUCAGUUCAUGGUACACUACUAUAUUAGGCUGUUGUUGCAUUGCUAUAAAGAAAUACCUGAGACCUGGUACUUUAUGAGAAAAGAGGUUUAAUUGGUCCACAGUCCUGCAAGCUGUAUAAGCAUGGCAUCUGACAUUGCUCAGCUUCUGGGAGGCCUCAGGGAGCUUUUACUCAUGGCAGAAGGUGAAGCAGGGGCAGGCAUCCCACAUCACAGAGUAAGCAAGAGAGUGAGUGUGGGGAGGAGGUACCACACUUCACAACAACCAGAUCUGUAAGAACUCGCUAUGGAGGGGACAGCACCAAGCCAUGAGGGAUCCGCCCCAUAACCCAAACACCCCACCAGGCCCCACCUCCAACACUGGGGAUUAUAUUUCCAUGAGAUUUGGCUGGGAACAAGUAUCCAAACCACAUCAACUAUUCUUGUCCUGUAAGAAUAAAUGUUCAGACAACAUCCUUGAGCUUUUUCCUGACUUUCAUCCAUCCUGCCAGCCCUUUCUAACAUGGCAUCUGUUUGCCUUUACUUACUAAAUCACCACUUUAUUUUUGCCCAGCUUUUAGAAAUAGCCCAAGAGGCAGGUACAAGAGCCACCAAAAAUGAUUGAAAGUGAAUUAUUCUCAACUGAGUGAGAGUCCUAAGGGAAGGGAAAAUUUCAAGGAGAAUGGCUGACAAUGUCCCAUGCCACAGAGAGGUUAAGGAAGACAAGAAAUGGAAGUGUUCAUUGGAUUUGGCAAUUGUGAUUUCAUUAGUGAACUAAUGAAGCUGAUGACCUAAAAGAGACAGAAACCCUGUUACAGUGAGGGGUGAAUGGCAGGUAGGAAGUGGGAAGUGGAUGUAUGGAUUUGGAAUUCAUCUCUUUUUAGGUGGCCAUUGAAGUCAUGGCCACGGAUUCUGUCACUUUAUGGGGAGAG